rnacentral:rRNA from 1 species
AUGGAAAAUAGAAAUACUUUUUCUUGGGUAAAGGAACAGAUAACUCGAUCGAUUUCUGUAUCGAUCAUGAUAUACGUAAUAACUCGGACAUCUAUUUCAAAUGCAUAUCCCAUUUUUGUGCAGCAGGGUUAUGAAAACCCACGAGAAGCAACUGGACGAAUCGUAUGUGCCAAUUGCCAUUUAGCUAGCAAGCCCGUCGAUAUUGAAGUUCCCCAAGCUGUGCUUCCCGAUACUGUAUUUGAAGCAGUUCUUCGAAUUCCUUAUGAUAUGCAAUUGAAACAAGUUCUUGCUAAUGGAAAAAAGGGAGGGUUGAAUGUAGGUGCUGUUCUUAUUUUGCCCGAGGGAUUCGAAUUAGCGCCGCCCGAUCGUAUUUCCCCUGAGUUAAAAGAAAAGAUAGGAAAUCUUGCUUUUCAGAGUUAUCGUCCCGAUAAAAAAAACAUUCUUGUGAUAGGCCCUGUUCCCGGUAAGAAAUAUAGUGAAAUUGUCUUUCCCAUUCUUUCCCCUGGUCCUGCUACGAAGAAAGAUGCUCAUUUCUUAAAAUAUCCCAUAUAUGUAGGGGGGAACCGAGGAAGAGGACAGAUCUAUCCUGAUGGUAGCAAGAGUAACAAUUCAGUCUAUAAUGCUACGUCAACAGGUAUAGUAAGAACCUUUUCAAACUGUUUCUUUUUUAGAACCAAAAAAACUUGUGCCAAAAUAACGGAUGCGAAGAAGAACAAAAGGCCUUGGACACGUAAUGGAUCCUGA